CCACAGACCACUUCCUGGAGGUCAAGCUGAGUCCUACAACACACGCUUCUUCCACAUCAAGGAGGACUUCGCCUACACAGAGGUUAACGGCAGGAAGUUGUACCAGCCAGAUGAUGGGGUGCAGCUGACGGUGAUGGACGGCCAUGACGGGAGACUGGUGGAGAGCAAAGGCUUCAGGAACUCCAUACUGCAGGGUGUACCUGCCCAGAUAGAGAGCUAUGUUAACAACCUGACAGACCACUCUAUCGUCAUAAUAACGUCUAAGGGUCGCCUGGUAACUCGGGGCCCCUGGACCAGAAUACUGGAACUCCUCGGGCUGACAAGACCCUC